rnacentral:rRNA from 1 species
UACAGAGGUGGCAAGCGUUGUUCGGAAUUACUGGGCGUAAAGGGCGCGUAGGCGGCCUGCUAAGUCGAACGUGAAAGCCCUGGGCUCAACCUGGGAAUGGCAUUUGAAACUGGCGAGCUAGAGUGUGAUAGAGGAUGGCGGAAUUCCCGGUGUAGCGGUGAAAUGCGUAGAGAUCGGGAGGAACAUCCGUGGCGAAGGCGGCCAUCUGGAUCAACACUGACGCUGAGGCACGAAAGCGUGGGGAGCAAACAGG